UACGUAGGGUGCAAGCGUUAAUCGGAAUUACUGGGCGUAAAGCGUGCGCAGGCGGUUCGGAAAGAAAGAUGUGAAAUCCCAGGGCUUAACCUUGGAACUGCAUUUUUAACUACCGGGCUAGAGUGUGUCAGAGGGGGUGGAAUUCCACGUGUACGCAGGUGAAAUGCGUAGAUAUGUGGAGGAACACCGAUGGCGAAGGCAGCCCCUGGGAUAACACUGACGCCUCGAUGCACGAAAGCGUGGGAGCAAACAGG
rnacentral:rRNA from 1 species